UGUGAACGCGAAGCACCUUACCAUCUUUUGACAUGGCGUGUUAUCUGGAGAGAUCCGGAGUUCCUUUGGGGGACGCGCACACAGGUGCUGCAUGGCUGUUGUCAGCUCGUGUCGUGAGAUGUUGGGUUAAGUCCCGCAACGAGCGCAACCCUUUCCUUUAUUUGCCAUCAUUCAGUUGGGCACUUUAGGGGGACUGCCGGUGAUAAGCCGCGAGGAAGGUGGGGAUGAGGUCAAGUCUUCAUGGCCCUUACGGGAUGGGCUCCACACGUGCUACAAUGGCGGUGACAAUGGGAAGCGAAGGGGCGACCUGGAGCGAAUCCCCAAAAGCCGUCUCAGUUCAGAUUGCACUCUGCAACUCUAGUGCAUGAAGUCGGAAUCUCUAGUAAUCGUGGAUCACCACGCCACGGUGAAUACAUUCCCCGGUCUUGUACACACGCACA
rnacentral:rRNA from 1 species